rnacentral:misc_RNA from 1 species
AUACAAUCCAAAAUAUUAGUACAUGUUUGCUCCAAUACAACUUUUGUUACAAAACAUGGUGAAAGACCAAUUAAAAUACAACCCUCAAACUCAGUACAAUUAGAUUUGAUAUAAUCAUCUUCUCAGAUAUCUGGAUUGAUUUUAUUUCAAACAAAUACAGCAGAUGCACUAGCUCAUCCAUGGUAACCAUUACACAUUACUGUUUUUUCUUCCCAAGUGUGUUUGAUUCAACACUUGGAAGGAAAAAAAUCAGAGUGCAGGUAAUAUAGAGCUUCAAACCCCCUCAACAAAACUAAUAAACGACCUCAGCUGCAAUGCUCAAUAAUUAUUCUUUCAUGCAAACAAAUAGAGAGAUCAUCUUGAGUGUGAUACUUGUCUCGCUUCUAUGUCCUGUAGUCUGAGGGUUACAGCCCUCUUGUGGGCAUCCAGACCCUCAACUUCGGCCAUUUUCUCUACGUAAGGACCAAGAUUCCUCAGCCCUUCUUCUGUCAAAGACUGCACAGUGAUGUACUUCAAGAAAGAGUCCAAAGAGACCCCACCAUACAUCCGUGCAUACCCAUAAGUUGGAAGAACAUGGUUAGUUCCACUUGCGUAAUCUCCUACACUCUCAGGUGUCCACUUUCCCAUAAAUACAGAACCUGCAUUCUCAAUUAAAUUUUCCCACUUCUCAGCUUCAUCCACAUUGAUUAUCAGAUGCUCAGGUGCAUACAUGUUUGAGAAGGAAAUUGCCUCCAGCAUAUCCCGUGCUAACACAGUGAAGCUGUGGCUUAGUGCCUUAAGUGCAAAUUCUCCCCUUGGAAGUGCUUGACAUUGCUUCAUGAUUUCCUCUUGAAUGGCAUUUAGAUCAACACCAUCCCCAGCAAUAACCAGUACGACUUGGCUAUCUGGCCCAUGCUCCGCCUGUGAAAGUAAAUCUGCUGCCACAUGGACAGGACUGGAAUGCUUGUCAGCUAUAACAAGGACUUCAGAAGGCCCAGCAGGCAUGUCAAUUGAAACCAUCGCUUCGCUGUUCUGCAGAAUCAUUUUUGCAGCAGUGACAUACUGGUUUCCAGGCCCAUAUAUCUUCUCAACCUUUGGGCAUGAUUCAGUGCCCCAGGCCAUUGCAGAAAUUGCCUGAGCACCUCCAGCUUUAAGGAUGUGGGUCACACCCGCUUUUUUGGCACAAUAAAGCACUUCCUUGCAAAUGCUGCCAUCCCGAGAAGGUGGAGUUGCAAGUACAACUGUUUUACAUCCAGCAAUUUGUGCUGGAACUGAAAGCAUCAGAGCUGUAGAAGGUAAAACAGCAGUUCCACCAGGAACAUAAAGCCCUACAGAGGCAAUGCUCCUAGCGACACGUUUACAUCUGACCCCAUGCAUGUUCUCAACAACUUUCUCAACAGGCUUUUGAGCAGCAUGAAAGGCAUAUAUGUUGUUAUAUGCCACAUCAAAUGCUUCGCGAACAGAUGAAUCGAGCUCGGGAUCUGGAAGCUCACUGACAUCUUCAACUAUCUUAUCCAGUACAACUUUGUCAAACCGCGAUGUGUAAUCUUUAACUGCAGCAUCACCUCUAUUACGAACAUCGUCAACAAUGGGUUGAACUGUGCCGAAAAUGGAGGAGAAAUCAAUGCGAGGACGAGCCUUGAGGCUGUCAACCUCAGAGGUUGUAAGCUCCGAUAACUUAUACGACUUCAUUGAGCACCUAAUUGACUUACGAAUUAACCCUGCAGGUAGAUAAGAAUAUUUCCGAUAAAAUACAGUAUUGCGUGUAGGAAUUGCCCGAAGAUUACUAGCCAAGCUACAGGACCUACUCAAUGAUAGAAUGUUGCAGUCCAUCAAUGUUAAUUAUACGUCGUCGCCGGAGAAAGAUGAAGAGUUAAGCAGAUCGUCGCCGGCGGUGUCACAGCAGAGUGAGUUGUGUACUUUGUGGUGGUGGUUCAAUUGACUAUUGGGAAG